rnacentral:rRNA from 1 species
UGAUACAUAGGCACCAAGCGUUGUCCGGAUUUAUUGGGCGUAAAGAGCUCGUAGGUGGUUCGGUAAGUCGGGUGUGAAAACUUUGGGCUCAACCCAAAGCCUGCAUCCGAUACUGCUGUGACUAGAGUUCGGUAGGGGAGCGGGGAAUUCCUAGUGUAGCGGUGAAAUGCGCAGAUAUUAGGAGGAACACCGGUGGCGAAGGCGCCGCUCUGGGCCGAUACUGACACUGAGGAGCGAAAGCGUGGGUAGCAAACAGGAUUAGAUACCCUGGUAGUCCACGCCGUAAACGUUGGGCACUAGGUGUGGGUUCCAACCAACGGAAUCCGCGCCGUCGCUAACGCAUUAAGUGCCCCGCCUGGGGAGUACGAUCGCAAGAUUA